GAUGAAGAACGCAGCGAAAUGCGAUACGUAAUGUGAAUUGCAGAAUUCAGUGAAUCAUCGAGUCUUUGAACGCACAUUGCGCCCCCUGGUAUUCCGGGGGGCAUGCCUGUCCGAGCGUCAUUACAACCCUCAAGCUCAGCUUGGUGUUGGGCCCCGCCGCCCCGGCGGGCCCUAAAGUCAGUGGCGGUGCCGUCCGGCUCCGAGCGUAGUAAUUCUUCUCGCUCUGGAGGCCCGGUCGUGUGCUCGCCAGCAACCCCCAAUUUUUUUCAGGUUGACCUCGGAUCAGGUAGGGAUACCCGCUGAACUUAAGCAUAUCAAUAAGCGGAGGA
rnacentral:misc_RNA from 1 species